rnacentral:rRNA from 1 species
GAGUUUGAUCGUGGCUCAGAUUGAACGCUGGCGGCAUGCCUUACACAUGCAAGUCGAACGGCAGCAUGAUCUAGCUUGCUAGGUUGAUGGCGAGUGGCGAACGGGUGAGUAAUACAUCGGAACGUGCCCUGUAGUAGGGGAUAACUAGUCGAAAGAUUAGCUAAUACCGCAUACGACCUGAGGGUGAAAGUGGGGGACCGCAAGGCCUCAUGCUAUAGGAGCGGCCGAUGUCUGAUUAGCUAGUUGGUGGGGUAAAGGCCCACCAAGGCGACGAUCAGUAGCUGGUCUGAGAGGACGAUCAGCCACACUGGGACUGAGACACGGCCCAGACUCCUACGGGAGGCAGCAGCGGGGAAUUUUGGACAAUGGGCGAAAGCCUGAUCCAGCAAUGCCGCGUGUGUGAAGAAGGCCUCGGUUGUAAGUACGACUUU